rnacentral:hammerhead_ribozyme from 1 species
GCACUUCUGAGGAGUCCCACAAUAGAACGAAACGGCUGUUCAGUGC